GACAGAGGGUGCAAACGUUGUUCGGAAUUACUGGGCGUAAAGCGUGUGUAGGCGGCUUGGCAAGUCGGAUGUGAAAGCCCUGGGCUCAACUCAGGAAGUGCACCCGAUACUGCGUAGCUCGAGUACCGGAGAGGUUGGUAGAAUUCUCGGUGUAGAGGUGAAAUUCGUAGAUAUCGAGAGGAAUACCUGUGGCGAAGGCGGCCAACUGGACGAGCACUGACACUGAGACACGAAAGCGUGGGGAGCAAACAGG
rnacentral:rRNA from 1 species